rnacentral:rRNA from 1 species
UACAGAGGGGGCAAGCGUUGUUCGGAAUUACUGGGCGUAAAGGGCGCGUAGGCGGCCUGCUAAGUCGAACGUGAAAUCCCCGGGCUCAACCCGGGAACUGCGUCCGAUACUGGCAGGCUUGAAUCCGGGAGAGGGAUGUGGAAUUCCAGGUGUAGCGGUGAAAUGCGUAGAUAUCUGGAGGAACACCGGUGGCGAAGGCGGCACUCUGGGCCGGGACUGACGCUGAGGAGCGAAAGCGUGGGGAGCGAACAGG